rnacentral:rRNA from 1 species
UACGUAGGGUGCAAGCGUUAAUCGGAAUUACUGGGCGUAAAGCGUGCGCAGGCGGUUGUGCAAGACAGAUGUGAAAUCCCCGGGCUCCAACCUGGGAAUUGCAUUUGUGACUGCACGGCUAGAGUGUGUCAGAGGGGGGUAGAAUUCCACGUGUAGCAGUGAAAUGCGUAGAUAUGUGGAGGAAUACCGAUGGCGAAGGCAGCCCCCUGGGAUAACACUGACGCUCAUGCACGAAAGCGUGGGGAGCAAACAGG